rnacentral:lncRNA from 1 species
CAAAGCACUGACGAAGCAGAAAUACAGGGUAUGUCAAGAUUUACCACCUCAUCAGAUCAUGAUGCCCAAGUUCCUAGCUUCAGAAAUAAGGUUGGAGCAGCAUUGGAGUCAGUGACGCUAUGGGCACAUGUCUUCAUCCUUACUGUCAUGCGAAAUGGCGAUUGUACAAUGACCAUGGCUUUCGUUAUCAUUAUGAACCUGCUGGAGGCCAUACAAAUCUUUGGUUUGUUCUUCAUAAUUGUUGCCUUCCAAGUGGUGAUGCCAC